rnacentral:rRNA from 1 species
UGGGGAAUAUUGCACAAUGGGCGCAAGCCUGAUGCAGCCAUGCCGCGUGUAUGAAGAAGGCCUUCGGGUUGUAAAGUACUUUCAGCGGGGAGGAAGGUGUUGUGGUUAAUAACCACAGCAAUUGACGUUUCCCGCAGAAGAAGCACCGGCUAACUCCGUGCCAGCAGCCGCGGUAAUACGGAGGGUGCAAGCGUUAAUCGGAAUUACUGGGCGUAAAGCGCACGCAGGCGGUCUGUCAAGUCGGAUGUGAAAUCCCCGGGCUCAACCUGGGAACUGCAUCCGAAACUGGCAGGCUUGAGUCUUGUAGAGGGGGGUAGAAUUCCAGGUGUAGCGGUGAAAUGCGUAGAGAUCUGGAGGAAUACCGGUGGCGAAGGCGGCCCCCUGGACAAAGACUGACGCUCAGGUGCGAAAGCGUGGGGAGCAAACA